rnacentral:rRNA from 1 species
AAUUCUUAGUGGCGGACGGGUUAGUAACACGUGAGAAUCCUACCCUUGAGUGGGGAAUAGCCUUUCGAAAGGAAGAUUAAUGCCCCAUAGUCUCUACGGAGUAAAGAUGCCUUCGGGUGUCGCUUAAGGAUGGGCUCGCGGCCUAUCAGCUAGUUGGUGAGGUAAGAGCUCACCAAGGCAACGACGGGUAGCUGGUCUGAGAGGACGAUCAGCAACACUGGAACUGAGACACGGUCCAGACACCUACGGGUGGCAGCAGUCGAGAAUCAUUCACAAUGGACGAAAGUCUGAUGGUGCAACGCCGCGUGGAGGAUGACGGCCCUAGGGUUGUAAACUCCUGUCAUCAGGGAGUAAGACUUAUUCGUUAAUAGCGUGUAAGUUUGAUAGUACCUGAAGAGGAAGGGACGGCUAACUUCGUGCCAGCAGCCGCGGUAAUACGAAGGUCCCAAGCGUUGUUCGGAAUAACUGGGCGUAAAGCGUGUGUAGGCCGCGCGGAAAGUCGGAUGUGAAAGCCCAAGGCUCAACCUU